rnacentral:rRNA from 1 species
GCCUGAUCCAGCCAUGCCGCGUGUGUGAAGAAGGUCUUCGGAUUGUAAAGCACUUUAAGUUGGGAGGAAGGGUUGUAGAUUAAUACUCUGCAAUUUUGACGUUACCGACAGAAUAAGCACCGGCUAACUCUGUGCCAGCAGCCGCGGUAAUA